rnacentral:rRNA from 1 species
AGUCGAACGGCAGCGGACUUCGGUCUGGUGGCGAGUGGCGAACGGGUGAGUAAUGUAUCGGAACGUGCCUAGUAGCGGGGGAUAACUACGCGAAAGCGUAGCUAAUACCGCAUACGCCCUUCGAGGAAAGCGGGGACCUUCGGGCCUCGCACUAUUAGAGCGGCCGAUAUCGGAUUGGCUCAGUUGGUGGGGUAACGGCUCGCCAAGGCGACGAUCCGUAGCUGGUUUUGAGAGGACGACCAGCCACACUGGGACUGAGACACGGCAGACUCCGGGGAGGCAGCAGUGGGGAAUUUUGGACAAUGGGGGAAACCCUGAUCCCAGCCGCCCGCGUGUGCGAUGAAGGCCGCUCGGGUUGUAAAGCACUUUUGGCAGGAAAAGAAACGGCACGGGAUAAUACCCCGUGCAACUGACGAACACCUGCAGAAUAAGCACCGGCUAACUACGUGCCAGCAGCCGCGGUAAUAUGUAAGUGCAAGCGUUAAUCGGAAUUACUGGGCGUAAAGCGUGCGCAGGCGGUUCCGGAAAAGAAAGAUGUGAAAUCCCAGGCUUAACUUUUUUGGAACUGCAUUUUUAACUACCGAGCUAGAGUGUGUCAGAGGAGGUGGAAUUCCGCGUGUAGCAGUGAAAUGCGUAGAUAUGCGGAGGAACACCGAUAGCGAAGGCAGCCCUCCUGGGAUAACACUGACGCUCAUGCACGAAAGCGUGGGGAGCAAACAGGAUUAGAUACCCUGGUAGUCCACGCCCUAAACGAUGUCAACUAGCUGUUGGGGCCUUCGGGCCUUGGUAGCGCAACUAACGCGUGAGUUGACCGCCUGGGGAGAUACGGUCGCAAGAUUAAAACUCAAAGGAAUUGACGGGGACCCGCACAAGCGGUGGAUGAUGUGGAUUAAUUCGAUGCAACGCGAAAAACCUUACCUACCCUUGACAUGUCUGGAAUCCGAAGAGAUUUGGGAGUGCUCGCAAGAGAACCCGGAACACAGGUGCUGCAUGGCUGAAAUGUCAGCUCGUGUCGUGAGAUGUUGGGUUAAGUCCCGCAACGAGCGCAACCCUUGUCAUUAGUUGCUACGAAAGGGCACUCUAAUGAGACUGCCGGUGACAAACCGGAGGAAGGUGGGGAUGACGUCAAGUCCUCAUGGCCCUUAUGGUGGGGCUUCGCACGUCAUACAAUGGUCGGGACAGAGGGUCGCCAACCCGCGAGGAGCCAAUCCCAGAAACCCGAUCGUAGUCCGGAUCGCAGUCUGCAACUCGACUGCGUGAAGUCAGAUCAUAGUAAUCGCGGAUCAGCAUGUCGCGGUGAAUACGUUCCCGGGUCUUGUACACACCGCCCGUCACACCAUGGGAGUGGGUUUUACCAGAAGUAGUUAGCCUAACCGUAGGAGGGCGAUUACCACGGUAAGUUCAUGACUGAGGGUGAAGUCGUAACCAGGUAG